GCCUGGGUAGCUCAGUCGGUUAGAGCGUGGUUUUGCUAACGCCAACGUUGCAGGUUCGAUCCCUGUAUGGGGCA